UUUACUUUGUUUUUUUAGUUUACAGAAUUUAAAAAUAUAAUUAAAAAAAUAAUUAAAAUUAUUUAAUUUAUUAAUAAAAUUAUAAUUUAAAAUAAAAAUUAAAUCAAUACGAAAAUAUUUUAUAUAUAAAUAAGUUUUGAAUUUAUAAUACAACAACCGGAAAAAAAGAACUAAGGGUCGUUCAUCGUUUGGUAGAAUUCCUCACUCCUCCUCGUAACAUCUGCCUCGUUAUGUGUGUCGGAUGACUCGCAUGGAAUGAGAUGUUGUUGUCGCAUGUUCCUCAACAUGGACUCCCAUUCCGGAUUUUUGGCCGCUAUAACAUCCAAGAAGCCCCCGACUC
rnacentral:lncRNA from 1 species